rnacentral:rRNA from 1 species
UACGGAGGGUGCGAGCGUUGUCCGGAAUCACUGGGCGUAAAGGGCGCGUAGGCGGCCUGAUAAGUAGGGGGUGAAAUCCUGCGGCUUAACCGCAGGGCUGCCUUCUAAACUGUCAGGCUUGAGCACAGUAGAGGCAGGUGGAAUUCCCGGUGUAGCGGUGGAAUGCGUAGAGAUGUGGAGGAACACCGAUGGCGAAGGCAGCCCCCUGGGUUAACACUGACGCUCAGGCACGAAAGCGUGGGGAGCAAACAGG